AUUGAACGCUGGCGGCAUGCCUUACACAUGCAAGUCGAACGGUAACGGGCCUUCGGGUGCCGACGAGUGGCGAACGGGUGAGUAAUACAUCGGAACGUGCCCGAUCGUGGGGGAUAACGAGGCGAAAGCUUUGCUAAUACCGCAUACGAUCUACGGAUGAAAGCAGGGGACCGCAAGGCCUUGCGCGGACGGAGCGGCCGAUGGCAGAUUAGGUAGUUGGUGGGAUAAAAGCUUACCAAGCCGACGAUCUGUAGCUGGUCUGAGAGGAUGAUCAGCCACACUGGGACUGAGACACGGCCCAGACUCCUACGGGAGGCAGCAGUGGGGAAUUUUGGACAAUGGGCGCAAGCCUGAUCCAGCCAUGCCGCGUGCAGGAUGAGGCCUUCGGGUUGUAAACUGCUUUUGUACGGAACGAAAAGCCUUCUUUUAAUACAGGAGGGUCAUGACGGUACCGUAAGAAUAAGCACCGGCUAACUACGUG
rnacentral:rRNA from 1 species